GCCACGCUGGCCAGCCCUCGGGGUAGGAGGGUCGGGCUGCAGCGCCGCGGAGUCUGUCUACGGCCCGGUGCCCUUGGCCGUGCGCUCGGCCGGGACUAGGCCCGUGGGCGCCGGCGGGCGGGGGAGGCCGAGCUCUGCCGGGCGGCGAAUUCUUGCUUACCCUGGAGGUCCCAGCCUCGGGGGCAUCUCCGAGGCUGCUUCUAAGUAGAGUUCCUCUAAGUGGGAGUUCUGCCCCCGAUUUAUUUUUUAUUCUGAGAAGAAUUUGCAAGGGUCUCUGAUAAGAUUAAAGACACAGUAUGAAACUGUUCAUUUCAAUCCAAAAGGAGGCCAACACUGGCACUGAAUUGAACAAAAUGAAACAGACGGGGCUUCCCUGGUGGCGCAGUGGUGGAGAAUCUGCCUGCUAAUGAAGGGGACACGAAUUCGAGCCCUUGUCUGGGAAGAUCCCACAUGCCGCGGAGCAACUAGGCCCGUGAGCCACAACUACUGAGCCUGCGCGUCUGGAGCCUGUGCUCCGCAACAAGAGAGGCCACGAUAGUGAGAGGCCCACGCACCGCGAUGAAGAGUGGCCCCGGUUGCCGCAACUGGAGAAAGCCCUCGCACAGAAACGAAGAUCCAACACAGCCAAAAAAAUAAAUAAAAUAAUAAUUAAAGGUGCUAAUAA